rnacentral:rRNA from 1 species
UGGGGAAUAUUGCACAAUGGAGGAAACUCUGAUGCAGCGACGCCGCGUGAGCGAAGAAGGUCUUCGGAUUGUAAAGCUCUGUCCUAAAGGAAGAUAAUGACAGUACUUUAGGAGGAAGCCCCGGCUAACUACGUGCCAGCAGCCGCGGUAAUACGUAGGGGGCGAGCGUUGUCCGGAAUUAUUGGGCGUAAAGGGUACGUAGGCGGUUUUUUAAGUCAUCUGUGAAAGCAUAGGGCUCAACCCUGUCAAGCAGUUGAAACUGGAAGACUUGAGUAGUGGAGAGGAAAGUGGAAUUCCUAGUGUAGCGGUGAAAUGCGUAGAUAUUAGGAGGAAUACCGGUGGCGAAGGCGACUUUCUGGACACUAACUGACGCUGAGGUACGAAAGCGUGGGGAGCAAACAGG